CUGACAUGCGUGCGAGUCGACGGGUUCUGAAACCUGGGAUGCGCAAGGAAGCUGACGAGCGGGAGGCCCUCACGGGCCGCACCGCUGGCCGACCCUGAUCUUCUGUGAAGGGUUCGAGUUGGAGCAUGCCUGUCGGGACCCGAAAGAUGGUGAACUAUGCCUGAGCGGGGCGAAGCCAGAGGAAACUCUGGUGGAGGCUCGAAGCGAUACUGACGUGCAAAUCGUUCGUCUGACUUGGGUAUAGGGGCGAAAGACUAAUCGAACCAUCUAGUAGCUGG
rnacentral:rRNA from 1 species